rnacentral:rRNA from 1 species
GACGAACGCUGGCGGCGUGCCUAAUACAUGCAAGUAGAACGCUGAAGGAGGAGCUUGCUUCUCUGGAUGAGUUGCGAACGGGUGAGUAACGCGUAGGUAACCUGCCUGGUAGCGGGGGAUAACUAUUGGAAACGAUAGCUAAUACCGCAUAAUAUUGACUAUUGCAUGAUAGUCAGUUGAAAGGUGCAACUGCACCACUACCAGAUGGACCUGCGUUGUAUUAGCUAGUUGGUGGGGUAACGGCUCACCAAGGCGACGAUACAUAGCCGACCUGAGAGGGGGACGGGCCACACGGGGACGGGAACACGGCCCAGACUCCUGCGGGGGGCAGCGGAGGGGAACCUUCGGCAAGGGACGGAAUUCUGACCGGGCAACCCCGGGUGAGUGAAGAAGGUUUUCGGAUCGUAAAGCUCUGUUGUAAGGGAAAAACGGGGGUGAGGGUGGAAAGCCCACACUGUGGCGGUAUUUUACCAAAAAGGGACGGCUAACUACGU